GACGUAGGGGGCCAGCGUUGUUCGGAAUUACUGGGCGUAAAGGGUUCGUAGGCGGUGUGGCAAGUCGGGUGUGAAAUCUCUGGGCUCAACUCAGAGACUGCUUCCGAAACUGCUGUGCUGGAGUGUGGGAGAGGCGCGUGGAAUUGCAGGUGUAGCGGUGAAAUGCGUAGAGAUGUGGAGGAACACCAGUGGCGAAGGCGACUCUUUGGUCUGUAACUGACGCUGAGGCGCGAAAGCGUGGGGAGCAAACAGG
rnacentral:rRNA from 1 species